GAUCCAGACACUUUUUUUCACACCAGCUACCAGGUAGACAAUGGUAACCGAAAAAAAAAUCGAUCAGAUUAAACUAAAUACUAAACUAUAGAAACUAGAGUAGAGUUACUAAAACAAAAUUAAAUGUGUAGUAUAUAAGUAUAUUUUCAGUCAAUAAACAGGCACGAAAAAAAAAUGUAAUUCGAAAACACAAAAAUUUGACGGGACCACACCACAUAUACAUUUGUAUGAUGAGAGUAGGCGUGUAUGCGUAAAAAUGUAUACAUAAAUAGAAAUUACCGUAAAAAUACGUCAAAAUAUUCAAGUGUUCCAAAAAUGAAAAAAAAACCUGGAUAUAUCUAUCUAUCCAUUUAAAAUUUGUUCAAUCAUUUUAUCAAUCUGUUCAAAUUGCCAUGGCCAUUUUGUAUUGAAUAAAAAUUGCCUAUGAUCAAAACGAU